rnacentral:rRNA from 1 species
GAACUGGAGAGUUUGAUCCUGGCUCAGAACGAACGCUGGCGGCGUGCUUAAGACAUGCAAGUCGUGCGAGAAAGUCGCCUUCGGGUGGCGAGUAAAGCGGCGCACGGGUGAGUAACGCGUGGGUAAUCUACCUACGGGUCUGGGAUAACUCCGGGAAACUGGAGCUAAUACCGGAUAAGCCCACGAUGUCCUCGGACAUUGAGGGAAAAGGUGGCCUCUUCUUGAAAGCUAUCGCCCGAUGAUGAGCCCGCGUCCCAUUAGCUUGUUGGUGAGGUAAAGGCUCACCAAGGCUCCGAUGGGUAGCUGGUCUGAGAGGAUGAUCAGCCACACUGGAACUGAGACACGGUCCAGACUCCUACGGGAGGCAGCAGUCGGGAAUUUUGGGCAAUGGGGGCAACCCUGACCCAGCAACGCCGCGUGAGCGAUGA